GAUGAACGCUGGCGGCGUGCCUAAUACAUGCAAGUCGAGCGAACAGAUAAGGAGCUUGCUCCUUUGACGUUAGCGGCGGACGGGUGAGUAACACGUGGGUAACCUACCUAUAAGACUGGCAUAACUCCGGGAAACCGGGGAUAAUGCCGGAUAACAUUUAGAACCGCAUGGUUCUAAAGUGAAAGAUGGUUUUGAUAUCACUUAUAGAUGGACCCGCGCCGUAUUAGUUAGUUGGUAAGGUAACGGCUUACCAAGGCAACGAUACGUAGCCGACCUGAGAGGGUGAUCAGCCACACUGGAACUGAGACACGGUCCAGACUCCUACGGGAGGCAGCAGUGGGGAAUCUUCCGCAAUGGGCGAAAGCCUGACGGAGCAAUGCCGCGUGUGUGAUGAAGGUCUUCGGAUCGUAAAACUCUGUUAGUAGGGAAGAACAAAAGUGUAUGUAACUGUGCACGUCUUGACGUUACCUAAAGAGAAAGCCACGGCUAACUACGUG
rnacentral:rRNA from 1 species